UGCAGCUUCGAGGGCUCGACCUUCGAGGUCUGCGCCCUCGACAACUGCCGGUUCAACGCCUGCGAGCUGCGG
rnacentral:tRNA from 1 species